AAAACUUUUCCAAAAGAAAAGAAAAAUCUGUUCUUAUCAGUUUAAUAUCUGAUACGUCCCCCAUCGGGGGACUACAUAUUAAAUGGAUUUUUCGAACAGGGAGUCGGAAAUGGGGCUUGCUCCGUCCGCUCCACGCAUCGACCCGGUAUUGCAGUACCUCCGGGAACGGUGCAACACUU
rnacentral:snRNA from 1 species